GAUGCAUCACCAAUACCAGUGUUACUUCCCUUACAACUGGAGCAUCCGCAACGUCACAGUAUUUUAUCUAUUUUAAAAUUAACUUUAUAAGCUUUGCAAAUGUUUACAAUAAUAACAUCUUCUCUUCUAAAUUAAAGCUAUUUUUUAUGCACAGUUUUUUCAAAUUAAAAAUGUUUUUUUUCCUUGCUGCGAAUUGUGCCUUUGCAGUCAGUGUCAACAUCACUAUGUCAUUACUCCGCAUUUCCUGUUUCAAGGAGAAAAGUUCUAUAAUCCAGCCCUUCUCUUUGAAGUCCUGAUAUUUAAGGAUGAUGCUCUAGUUUAUUUUACACAAUCUGCAGUUGCAUUGUUCUCUCCGCUGGGCUCAGAAAUCCUGUCUUCUCCUUUACAUCGCACGGUUUUAAGCUGUUCAAGCCUACGAAUUUCCAACAAAUCGAAUGUGUGAAUGCCUGAAACUCGCUAAGGUACGAACUGCACAGGAAUGAUAACGGAAGAAUUACAAAGUAGAGGAGAAAUUCAACUCAAAGUUGGAUACAAUUUUUGAGGCUUGGCGAUAAGAUUUAAUGAACAUUAAAAAAUAUUAAAUGAAGAUAGAUCCAUUAUUUGAUUGUUUCAUUUUACAAUACAGCUCAAACUUCGUGCAAAAAUGAGCAGUAAAUUUAACUCUUUCGCAUCGAGAGAGGACCACAUCUCUUUUAUUCAAACAUCGAAAACGCCCGUGUAUACGAAUUUCUGUUGGAAUGCUUUUUCUUCCCCCAACACAAAUUGAACACUACAGCACUAACAAUAACCUACUUAAGUAAAGCGACAACUUCUUUCUUGGACGCUUUCACCCUAUGUGAAAUUCCCCCUUGGGAUGGGAUUGCAACUUCGGUCAUAAAUAGCUAAACAUUGACAGUAAACAAAGGGAAAAGAAGAUGUGUUAAAAUAACAGAACUAUUUUUAAUCGCUUGAAAAGAAUGAUUGACACGUCAUUUAAGAACUCUUGAAAGCAAUGAGCAAUGCAGUAACGUGGUGGGGAAGAGCACUAGGUAGGAAAUUAUUGAGGCGGUCGGGGCGACUUUGAUGUGAAAGAGUUUAAUGAAUCAAUUCGUAAAAUCAACCAACAACCAAACGUGCACACUAGGGUUUCGGGUAAAAAUGUCAAUCAGUUGAGUUUUGGUGCCACACACACUUUUUUUUUUUUCUCUUUGCCUUUACUAAUAUAAUUGCUGCAAUACAAACUGUAAUGCAAAUUGAAAUAUUGUUCCUUAUUUUGCACAUCAUUUUUAUAAUUAAUUGCAGUAUUCUUAGUUUAAAUGCAAAUCAUAAUUGUUGUUUCUUAAUUCCUACUUAAUAAAUUAAUAUUAUAACACAUAUUCUUAAAGAUAUAUAUAAAAGCUUGUUUAUUUGGAAUCCUAGAAAAAAUUACAAGCAGAAAAUUUUCACUUUUAAAUAAUGUCUAGUGCCAUGAACAUAUGAAACUAAAUCAGUGAACCAAAUUGAAAACUAGAUUCAAAACCAAUUUCAACAUCUCUGUUCAUUUUUGCAAUUUUUAAACAUAAAAAUGUUGCAAAACAAAAAACCUUAAAAAUAUUUAAAAAUAUACAGUAGAACAGUGGCGUGGCUGGAGGCGUUGUUGCCCUUGCCCAGUAGCACAUUUUUCGGGAAGGCAUCUUUCGCACUUCCAAUAUCUUUAUUUUAUUGAAACUAUUAAAUGAAAAUUAAUUAAUAUUGACUAAAUUGCAAUUAAGGUGACAUUCGCUACGACAUAAUUUAAGUAUUGCAGAGUUUUAUUUCCAAUGUUGUUGGGAAAAUCUAAACAAGAAAGUGCAGCAACCUUUUCAAAUUAUUUGCAGCUUAUUCUAAAAUACAAUCUCUGGAACAAAGUUCCAAAUAUUGUUAUACUGUUGUGAAUUUUUCUUGCCAUCACCAUAAGCACUGCUGGUUGACAGAAGAGUUUUCUAAAUAAAAAUAAUUUAAGGAGUAUUUAUGAGAAAGCUUUCUAUACUGUCUACAUUAUGGCAAUUGAGCAAUCCAGCAGUUCAAUGGUUUUAAGAACACCCCCCCAAAAAAAAUUAAUGUUAGAACUAAGAUUUUUCUUAAAAACAUCCUUUUUGAAAACUACUCCAAUAAACCUGUUCUGUGUUAGAUAUGCUAACAAUGUCUUGCAGUUUAUUGUCAAUGAAGAAAGAAAAAGUUGCAUCCAGUUUUAACAACAGCCUAUUCUAAGAAAAAAAGAAAAAAAUUUCACACCACAAUUCAUCAUAAACUGCAGCUGCCAACCUUGAAAUAUUAAAAAGUGGAUAAAAAAUCUGAAUGUUUUUCACACUGCAUGGUGACACCAUUUCAAAGGAACUUCAAACUGAUUUUAAUUCACCUUAUAAUGUAUGGUUCUGUUAUUGAACUAUUUGUAAUUCAAUUUUGAUAUAAAAUAUAUUAGCAUUUAAUUGGAUGUCAAGAAAACCUUGAGGAGCGAAGGAAAGCUUCUCAUUCUCAAAGUACUUUUAAAUAUGAUGAAAAUAAAACUAACAAUUAAUGUAGAUAGUAAUUAUGUGGAUAAACUUUGUCAUGUAUUACAUAUUAAAGUAACCAAAAUUAAAUGCAACUAUUAACUGAUUAAACAUUGCUCGAAUCUUCACAUAAAAAUUUACAAAUGUUUACAGUAGAUUAAGAUAAUUCAGAUGAAAGAAAAUGUAAUAAAUUGCUGGGAAUUUACUAAAUUACUGUUGUUAUUUAACUAUUAUGCUAUUAAACUGCGCAAACUACAAUUUGUCCCAAAUGAUGAAAUGUAAUUUUUUAAAGAAAAUUUACAAUCACAGCAUUAGUUAUUAAUAAUUAAAAUGGUUUAAAU